GGCUGCAGUGGGGAAUAUUGGACAAUGGGCGCAAGCCUGAUCCAGCCAUGCCGCGUGGGUGAUGAAGGCCCUAGGGUUGUAAAGCCCUUUCGGCGGGGAAGAUAAUGACGGUACCCGCAGAAGAAGCCCCGGCUAACUUCGUGCCAGCAGCCGCGGUAAUACGAAGGGGGCUAGCGUUGCUCGGAAUUACUGGGCGUAAAGCGCACGUAGGCGGCUUUCUAAGUCGGGGGUGAAAUCCUGGAGCUCAACUCCAGAACUGCCUUCGAUACUGGAGAGCUUGAGUCCGGGAGAGGUGAGUGGAACUGCGAGUGUAGAGGUGAAAUUCGUAGAUAUUCGCAAGAACACCAGUGGCGAAGGCGGCUCACUGGCCCGGUACUGACGCUGAGGUGCGAAAGCGUGGGGAGCAAACAGGAUUAGAUACCCUAGUAGUCCAC
rnacentral:rRNA from 1 species